GAUGAACGCUGGCGGCGUGCCUAAUACAUGCAAGUCGAGCAAACGGACGAGAAGCUUGCUUCUCUGAUGUUAGCGGCGGACGGGUGAGUAACACGUGGAUAACCUACCUAUAAGACUGGGAUAACUUCGGGAAACCGGAGCUAAUACCGGAUAAUAUUUUGAACCGCAUGGUUCAAAAGUGAAAGACGGUCUUGCUGUCACUUAUAGAUGGAUCCGCGCUGCAUUAGCUAGUUGGUAAGGUAACGGCUUACCAAGGCAACGAUGCAUAGCCGACCUGAGAGGGUGAUCGGCCACACUGGAACUGAGACACGGUCCAGACUCCUACGGGAGGCAGCAGUAGGGAAUCUUCCGCAAUGGGCGAAAGCCUGACGGAGCAACGCCGCGUGAGUGAUGAAGGUCUUCGGAUCGUAAAACUCUGUUAUUAGGGAAGAACAUAUGUGUAAGUAACUGUGCACAUCUUGACGGUACCUAAUCAGAAAGCCACGGCUAACUACGG
rnacentral:rRNA from 1 species